rnacentral:rRNA from 1 species
CCUACGGGCGGCUGCAGUGAGGAAUAUUGGUCAAUGGACGCAAGUCUGAACCAGCCAAGCCGCGUGCAGGAAGACGGCCCUAUGAGUUGUAAACUGCUUUUGUACGAGGGUAAACGCAGAUACGCGUAUCUGAUUGAAAGUACCGCACGAAUAAGGAUCGGCUAAUUCCGUGCCAGCAGCCGCGGUAAUACGGAGGAUCCAGGCGUUAUCCGGAUUUAUUGGGUUUAAAGGGAGCGUAGGCGGUCGGUUAAGUGAGAUGUGAAAUCCCGAGGCUCAACUUCGGAAUUGCAGCGGAUACUGUGGGGCUUGAGAGUGCUUGCGGUAGGCGGAAUGUGUGGUGUAGCGGUGAAAUGCUUAGAGAUCAUGCAGAACACCGAUUGCGAAGGCAGUUUACUGUAGCGUAACUGACGCUGAGGCUCGAAAGUGUGGGUAUCGAACAGGAUUAGAUACCCUGGUAGUC